rnacentral:rRNA from 1 species
UACAGAAGGUGCGAGCGUUAUUCAUAGUUAUUGGGCGUAAAGGGUAUGUAGGUGGAAUAUGAAAAUUUUGCUGUAAAGACUGGAGUCGUAACUUCAGAAGCAAGCUUUUAGAUUACUAUUCUUGAGUUAAUAUCGGGUCGGAGGAACUUCCAGCGUAAGGGUAGAAUCUAACGAUUCUGGAAGGAACACCAAAGGCAAAGGCAUCCCUCUAGAGUUAACUGACACUGAGGUACGGAAGCGUAGGGAGCAAACAGG